GGUGUAGCUCAAUCGGUAGAGUUCCGGAUUGUGGUUCCGGCGGUCGCGGGUUCGAUCCCCGUCAUU
rnacentral:tRNA from 1 species